GUGGCACACCAAUGACCAAGGACCCAGGACAGGGAAUCUGGACAUGGAUCUCUGCACGUUUAGCUUUCUCUGUCCCCGGAGCUGUUCCAGAAGUUGGGAGGGGUGAAGACCCCUUUGGCCUCUACAAUCUUGGGUCUAUGGCUUGAAGAGAAAUCCAUUCCUGUUCAGUGUGGAUAUGCCUUAUGACUUCCCAGACAGCAAAAAUAAGAAGACCCAGAGACUGAAGGGGCCGUGGUCUCCAGCAUCCUCUCCACCUUCCCAUUCUACCUCAGCUGAACAUGGAGGCCUCAGAAGGAAAGAGCUUCCUCAUCCCUCUGCAAAGCAGAACUGGAAAUUACUCUUUGUCAAGCAGGAAGUCACCUGUAGGCUCUUGACCACUCCUAUUUUAACCUGCUGUCAUCAAGGUUUUCCUCUCCCAUAAGUCUGGAAUGGAGUAACACUCCCAGCUCCGGGAAAAAGCUCUGAGGCUCUCAAGAAAGCCCAGGGAACAGAAAAGAGAAGUCAGGAGGGGAAAGCCCACACAGAUGGAGGUUUUCCUUGCCACCUCCCUCAGAUCACAUGGAUGAGGUAUUCCCUAUGUUCCCCAUCUCCCCGCUGGCUCCACAUUUCCAAGCAAUCCAGCCGCCCUUGCUGGGGAGCCUUCCUUGAGAGCCACCCCAGUGUCUUCUACAGGAAUCUGUCGGGAAUGCAACUAAGUGGCAGCAGCCCCUGCAAUCAAGUUCCCACUAUCGCCUUUUAAACCAGCACGCCAAGUGCAAGUCUGCCAGCCACUGGUCUGUAUUUGGGGGGGGGGGGGGGUGUCACGCAGGGGCUCCACUGGAGGAGUGUGAUGUGCCCCCAGUCUUGCCAUGCUCAGCUUCAGAGCUGUCCCUACACCACCUCCCAAUGCAGCUCAAACAGAAAGAGGGGCCACUGGUGUGACCUCAAUUCCUUGACUGGUCCCAAGGGGAGCAGCUCUCCAUCUGUGCCACCAUCCUAGUUCCUCCAAGGCCAGAAGGGAACAGCUCCCUCAGCUCACGCUGU